rnacentral:sRNA from 1 species
UUUACAAGUUGCGACUUUUUGGAGUGGGUAGGUUGUGUUCUGCACUAGGAGAACAUUUUGGGACCCUUUGGAGACUUUCCUACCAUGUUUUAGGGCUGGAAAAUGGUUUAGGAUGGUCCAUUGGUUGUUUAUUAUUGCUAAGUGCCAAGUGCAUGGGUCCUUAGUUGUCUAAGGCAUCUUCUUUUAAUUCCAAAUCAGAUUUGGAGUUUUGGGGGAGAGUAGAGAGGUCCUUGGUGGGAGGUGAACGAAAUCCUAAGUGUCCUAAGUGUGGAGGCUGACUUGGUCUAGCAAGGAGGAGAGGAGUUGCUCUCUUUGAAGAAGAGUUUAAGGUGUUUUAGUCUUCAUGAGAAACUAUUUCAGAUGAAUUAGCAGAUGGUUCUGGACUUGCUUAGAAGAUGAGAGAUCUAUGGGGAGAAAAAAAAAGAGACAUGGGGAAUUUCUAAAUAAAUAUGUUUUGAAAUUUCAAACUGUGUGGAAUUUUAAAUUUCAGAAGUUUAUGAACUGUGUGAAACUUUAUUUUAGAAGACUUGUG